GACUGAUACAAUUUAUCAUGCUGGCGUUGUUAAGGACAUUAAACCUGUUAAAACAACAUCCAUAUAGCAUGAAUCCUUUGAGACAGCAAUACCUUAGAGACAAAGUAAGAUGUGUUGUGUUGUAUUAUGACUUCAUUGAACCAAUUCAGAGCAAUAAAAGUUCAUAAUAUGUUCUUGUGCCGAUACUAAAUAGGACAUACAGAAUGUGCACAUAUUAUUGUAAAAUAAAUAAUGUGACCAAACGGAUAUCUAUAUCGAGAAUCGAUAAUUGCAUAAACAAAAUGGUAAAAGCGAAAUAUGUGACAAAAUUUGAUUUUCUCAAAGGAUUGUUUUCCAAUACCAGAACGAGUUAAGAAGAUACAGCCUUUGAGACACCUAAUGGCCUUUACCUGUACAAGGUUUUGCCAUUAAGGGUGAAGAAUUCGCCGGCUACAUUUCAACGGCUUGUGAAUCAGGGUUUUCUUCUAUCAACUCACAGAUGCCAAGAUGACCAUCAAAUUUGCAAAAAAUGACAUGCUGAUUGAGUGAAAAGUAUAAAGCAGGGGCUUGAUGUAGCCGCAGUCAAGGAGGUUUCACCGACCAGACACAUCACCAUAAUGUAUCAAUGGCUGUUAGUUUGCGCUCGAGACGCAGUCAAUGCAGUUUCUGCCCGUGUUAAACGGCCACCAUGCAAUGGUAAGAGUAACGGUGGCUACGGAGGCGAGUACGGCACUGGCGCCUGUGGAUAGGGAAUGAGUCGCGGAUACGGAGGUGGUAGACACGGUGUGGCGGAUACGGCGGUGGAUAGGAUGCUGGCAGGUACGGAGUCGGAUAUGGAGGUGGCGCUGGUUGAUACGGCUUUGGAUGACACAGUGUCGGAUACGGUGGUGUCAUGUCCAGUGGUUAUCGGGGCGGUAUGGAAUGAGUGAUCCUGACACUUCAAGGAUUUCUCCUGAUGACGUCAUUGUACAUUGUACAUUUAGUGUAUUUAUUUCAAUUUAAGACUUAUAAAAUAUUAAUACAUGUUUAAUCAUUAUUGCUGCUCAAUGAUUAUGAUUUAUUAUCGUUUUAUAUCGUUAUGGAAUUUUCAGGGACAAGCCCAGUACCCAACGACCCUGUUUAAAUACACAGAACUAAUGCCUAACAUACACUGAACGAGAGAGAACCAAACGACAAAAAUUACCAAACAAUGCAAAUAUACCACACAAGCAUCAACACAUAAUUAACAUUAUACACCGCCCUGGAACGGUCACCGAUACAGGUGUUCAUUGGGGGGCUUUAAAGUCCCAUUAUGUUUUAGUAAUGUAAACUUAUUUGUUUGUAUGUAUAUCCACAUCGCUUAGGUAAGAAAUCGUCAAAACGUCACAUCCGUAUAAACAAAAUGGCGGCGUUAUAGAAUUUCGCUAGCAACUAAAAAGCAAAAUCGGCCAAUUUGGUUAAUAAAAUGCCAAUAACACACAAACCAUGCACGAAAACAAGCAUUUUAACUAUUGGAGAUAUGUUUUCUCUGCACAAAUGUAAGUUUGACGUUGACAAACGAAUACAUUCUUUAGAAAUCGUCAAUAUGUGUGACUGUACCAUUCUGAAAAGUUCUGAAACUCAUAAUGCUCU